GUCUCCGUGGCUUAGUCGGGAGAGCACCCGUCUAGGGUGCGGAAGAACUCGGGUUCGAGCUUCGGUGAAAGGCA